AUUGAACGCUGGCGGCAGGCCUAACACAUGCAAGUCGAGCGGAGCGGCGGACGGGUGAGUAAUGCCUAGGAAUCUGCCUGGUAGUGGGGGAUAACGUCCGGAAACGGGCGCUAAUACCGCAUACUAUCAGAUGAGCCUAUGGCGGCGUGGCUAGGUGGUGGGGUAAAGGCCUACCAAGGCGACGAUCCGUAACUGGUCUGAGAGGAUGAUCAGUCACACGUGAACUGAGACACGGGCCCGCCUCCUACGUGAGGCAGCAGUGGGGAAUAUUGGACAAUGGGCGAAAGCCUGAUCCAGCCAUGCCGGGUGUGUGAAGAAGGUCUUCGGAGUGUAAAGCACUUUAAGUUGGGAGGCGUUACCAACAGAAUAAGCACCGGCUAACUUCGUGCCAGCAGCCGCGGUAAUUC
rnacentral:rRNA from 1 species